AUUGAACGCUGGCGGCAGGCCUAACACAUGCAAGUCGAGCGGAAGGGGUUUCGGCCCCGAGAGCGGCGGACGGGUGAGGAAAGCGUGGGAAUCUGCCUGUAGAUGGGGGAGUAGCCCGGAGAAAUACCGGAUUAAUACCGCAUGAUACCUGAGGGUUAAAGUGGAGGAUCGCAAGACUUCACGUCUACAGAUGAGCCCACGUCAGAUUAGCUAGUUGGUAGGGUAAAGGCCUACCAAGGCGACGAUCUGUAGCUGGCCUGAGAGGGUGGUCAGCCACACUGGGACUGAGACACGGCCCAGA
rnacentral:rRNA from 1 species